AAUGGGCGAAAGCCUGAUGCAGCAACGCCGCGUGAGUGAUGAAGGCCUUCGGGUCGUAAAACUCUGUCCUCAAGGAAGAUAAUGACGGUACUUGAGGAGGAAGCCCCGGCUAACUACGUGCCAGCAGCCGCGGUAAUACGUAGGGGGCUAGCGUUAUCCGGANUUACGGGGCGUAAAGGGUGCGUAGGUGGUUUUUUAAGUCAGGAGUGAAAGGNUACGGCUCAACCGUAGUAAGCUCUUGAAACUGGAAAACUUGAGUGCAGGAGAGGAAAGUGGAAUUCCUAGUGUAGCGGUGAAAUGCGUAGAUAUUAGGAGGAACACCGGUGGCGAAGGCGGCUCUCUGGACCGAUACUGACGCUGAGACGCGAAAGCGUGGGUAGCAAA
rnacentral:rRNA from 1 species